rnacentral:tRNA from 1 species
GCGACGCGAGGUAGAGCAGUCUGGUAGCUCGUCGGGCUCAUAACCCGAAGGUCGCUGGACGCCGAGGUUUACGCCGCCUUUAGGAUCCGAGAAGUAUGAUCACAAGCCCGGCAGCCGCCGCG